GAUGGACGCUGGCGGCGUGCCUAAUACAUGCAAGUCGAGCGAACGGACGAGAAGCUUGCUUCUCUAAUGUUAGCGGCGGACGGGUGAGUAACACGUGGAUAACCUACCUAUAAGACUGGGAUAACUUCGGGAAACCGUAGCUAAUACCGGAUAAUAUUUUGAACCGCAUGGUUCAAAAGUGAAAGACGGUCUUGCUGUCACUUAUAGAUGGAUCCGCGCUGCAUUAGCUAGUUGGUAAGGUAACGGCUUACCAAGGCAACGAUGCAUAGCCGACCUGAGAGGGUGAUCGGCCACACUGGAACUGAGACACGGUCCAGACUCCUACGGGAGGCAGCAGUAGGGAAUCUUCCGCAAUGGGCGAAAGCCUGACGGAGCAACGCCGCGUGAGUGAUGAAGGUCUUCGGAUCGUAAAACUCUGUUAUUAGGGAAGAACAUAUGUGUAAGUAACUGUGCACAUCUUGACGGUACCUAAUCAGAAAGCCACGGCUAACUACGUG
rnacentral:rRNA from 1 species